rnacentral:rRNA from 1 species
CUUGGUCAUUUAGAGGAAGUAAAAGUCGUAACAAGGUUUCCGUAGGUGAACCUGCGGAAGGAUCAUUCAUAAUAAGUGUUUUAUGGCACUUUUUAAAUCCAUAUCCACCUUGUGUGCAAUGUCAGUCGAUCUUCUUCAUGGAGAUCGGCCAAACAUCAACCUUAUUUUUUAACUCUUUGUCUGAAAAAUAUUAUGAAUAAACAAUUCAAAAUACAACUUUCAACAACGGAUCUCUUGGCUCUCGCAUCGGUGAAGAACGCAGCGAAAUGCGAUACGUAAUGUGAAUUGCAGAAUUCAGUGAAUCAUCGAAUCUUUGAACGCAUAUUGCGCUCUUUGGUAUUCCGAAGAGCAUGCUUGUUUGAGUAUCAGUAAACACCUCAAAGCUUUUGGAUUUUUUUUGAAAGCUUUGGACUUGAGCAAUCCCAACGCCAAUCUUUUUCAGAUCGGCGGCGGGUUGCUUGAAAUGCAGGUGCAGCUGGACUUUCUCCUGAGCUAAAAGCAUAUUCAUUUAGUCCCGUCAAACGGAUUAUUACUUUUGCUGCAGCUAACAUAAAGGGAGUUUGACCGUAUUGGCUGACAGAUGCAGGAUUUUACAAGGGUCGGCAACGAUUCUUGUUAAACUCGAUCUCAAAUCAAGUAAGACUACCCGCUGAACUUAAGCAUAUCAAUAAGCGGAGGA